UCUCUCACCUGGCAGAGGAUAUACCAUGAUCGCAAAGACGGUUUUCCUAGAAUGUGGCUCAUCCUUUGCACCCCACGUAUGCUGGCCCAUAUAAUUUCCCCAAUGUGGGAAACUGCAUAAUUUAUGGCCAUGGGAGACUGCAUUUGGGUUCUUCCCUG